rnacentral:rRNA from 1 species
GACGAACGCUGGCGGCGUGCUUAACACAUGCAAGUCGAACGGAAAGGCCCUGCUUGCCGGGUACUCGAGUGGCGAACGGGUGAGUAACACGUGGGUGAUCUGCCCCGCACUUCGGGAUAAGCCUGGGAAACUGGGUCUAAUACCGGAUAGGAGCCAUUUUUAGUGUGAUGGUUGGAAAGUUUUUUCGGUGUAGGAUGAGCUCGCGGCCUAUCAGCUUGUUGGUGGGGUAAUGGCCUACCAAGGCGGCGACGGGUAGCCGGCCUGAGAGGGUGGACGGCCACAUUGGGACUGAGAUACGGCCCAGACUCCUACGGGAGGCAGCAGUGGGGAAUAUUGCACAAUGGGCGCAAGCCUGAUGCAGCGACGCCGCGUGGGGGAUGACGGCCUUCGGGUUGUAAACUCCUUUCGCUAGGGACGAAGCUUUUUGUGACGGUACCUAGAUAAGAAGCACCGGCUAACUACGUG